rnacentral:rRNA from 1 species
CCUACGGGGGGCAGCAGUGGGGAAUAUUGCACAAUGGGGGAAACCCUGAUGCAGCAACGCCACGUGAGCGAUGAAUGCCUUCAGGUCGUAAAGCUCUGUCCUAAGGGAAGAAUACUGACGGUACCUUAGGAGGAAGCCCCGGCUAACUACGUGCCAGCAGCCGCGGUAAUACGUAUGGGGCUAUCGUUAUCCGGAAUUACUGGGCGUAAAGGGUGCGUGGACGGCCCAUCAAGUCAGAGGUGAAAGGCUACGGCUCAACCGUAGUAAGCCUUUGAAACUGUAGGGCUUGAGUGAAGGAGAGGAGAGUGGACUUCCUGGUGUAGCGGUGAAAUGCGUAGAUAUUGGGAGGAACACCAGUUGCGAAGGCGGCUCUCUGGACUGUACCUGACGCUGAGGCACGAAAGCGUGGGGAGCGAACAGGAUUAGAUACCCUGGUAGUC